AUUGAACGCUGGCGGCAGGCCUAACACAUGCAAGUCGAACGAGUGGCGGACGGGUGAGUAAUGUCUGGGAAACUGCGCGAUGGAGGGGGACAACUACUGGAAACGGUAGCUACUACCGCAUACCAUCGGAUGUGCCCGGGUGGGAUUAGCUAGUAGUGGGGGUAACGGCUCACCUAGGCGACGAUCCCUACCUGGUCUGAGAGGAUGACCAGCCACACUGGAACUGAGACACGGUCCAGACUCCUACGGGAGGCAGCAGUGGGGAAUAUUGCACAAUGGGCGAAAGCCUGAUGCAGCCAUGCCGCGUGUAUGAAGAAGGCCUUCGGGUUGUAAAGUACUUUAAGCUGGGAGGCGUUACUCGCAGAAGAAGCACCGGCUAACUCCGUGCCAGCAGCCGCGGUAAUUC
rnacentral:rRNA from 1 species